rnacentral:rRNA from 1 species
AACGAUAUACUACAGUGUGGCUAACGUUUUAACACUGUUUGUCUAAUGGCAUUUGUCUACAUCUGUUUUGACAAAUCCCGUUAUAGUUCAAGAAUAACAUAUGCAACAUAAUGUUCRUAUAGUAAUAUGAACAUUUCUGAAUGAUAUCAAUCUAUUAUCACUGUUUAAAUGUACUCAAUGAAUAUGAGAUUGAUUUAAACAGGGACAUGUUGGAGAUAGUAGUAUUCGUUAUCAUUUGUAU